rnacentral:tRNA from 1 species
AAAAAUUUAGUUAAAAUAUAACAUUAAUUUGUCAAAUUAAAAUAAUUUUCAAAAAUAAUUUUUA